GAUGAACGCUGGCGGCGUGCCUAAUACAUGCAAGUCGAGCGAACGGACGAGAAGCUUGCUUCUCUGAUGUUAGCGGCGGACGGGUGAGUAACACGUGGAUAACCUACCUAUAAGACUGGGAUAACUUCGGGAAACCGGAGCUAAUACCGGAUAAUAUUUUGAACCGCAUGGUUCAAAAGUGAAAGACGGUCUUGCUGUCACUUAUAGAUGGAUCCGCGCUGCAUUAGCUAGUUGGUAAGGUGACGGCUUACCAAGGCAACGAUGCAUAGCCGACCUGAGAGGGUGAUCGGCCACACUGGAACUGAGACACGGUCCAGACUCCUACGGGAGGCAGCAGUAGGGAAUCUUCCGCAAAGGGCGAAAGCCUGACGGAGCAACGCCGCGUGAGUGAUGAAGGUCUUCGGAUCGUAAAACUCUGUUAUUAGGGAAGAACAUAUGUGUAAGUAACUGUGCACAUCUUGACGGUACCUAAUCAGAAAGCCACGGCUAACUACGUG
rnacentral:rRNA from 1 species